UUACUUUUUAUUGUUGAUAUGCAAUUUUUGUCUCCUUAGGAGAUUUGGAGCUGAAACGAGAUUGUUCCUUAACCUCCCUCAUGACAUGCAAGAAGGGUGUGGCUCAUCUGCUCUGCUACCACUCACACUCAAACACCUUACAGGAAGGGAAGCACAAAGAAUGACAAGUGCAGGAGCUGGGAGAUGGAGUUUCACCAUGUUGCCCAAGCUGUUCUCAAACUCCUGAGCUCAAGUGAUCCACCAACCUUGGCCUCCCAGAGUGCUGGGAUUACAGUUCUGCAGCAUGCAAGUCCAAUUGAAGGUGUCAGCAGAUUUGGUUUCUCCUUAAGACUCUCUCCUUGGCUUGCCAAUUGCCACCUUCUUGCUGUGUCCUCACAUAGCCUUUUCUCUGUGAGUAUCUCUAAUGCCUCUUUCCUUAUAAGGACACAAAUCAUAUUAAAAUACACCCUCACCUUUUAACCUUAAUUACUUCCUUAAAGGGCUUAUCUCCAAAUACAGUCAUAUUGAAGAUUAGGGCCACAAUUUACGAAUUUUGGGUGACACAAUUCAAUCCGUAGCAACCUCUCUCACUCUCUGACUCUAGGCCAUCGUGUUACUGUUUUUAUGAAGCUCAGACUCUGGUUCAUACCUGUACCUUGUUUUUUGAGUUUUUGCCAUCUGAAUCUAUAAAAGGAAUCCUCUGGUUCCUACUGAUGACAGCGGUAAUCACAGUUGGACACAAAGUCUGCCUGAUCUUUUGAUUAGCUUGGAAGGAAUUUUGAUCUUUUGAUCAGAGCUGAUUUAGACCACACUGUGACAAAGAAAUAUCUCCACUCAUGAAAUUUUCAGGCCUCUAAAAUGAUCAAAAUGACUUGAAUACCCAUUCAGACAUGACAUAUUUCAACAGCCAAAAGGGAUCUUUUUCAUGGGAUUCCUUCCAUCACUCUGUAGAAAAGCAUUAUAGAGGGGUGCUUGCAUGUGACUUUCUGGGCUGAAGUGACUAUUAACAAGAAUAUAUUUUUGCAGAAAAUGCUAUCAUAGUCUCAUUAUAUCUUAUCACUACAAACAUCACUUCUAGAGAUUAUCAAAUCUCUCUGGAUGUAAUAAAAUAAGUUAGGCUGGAUAUCA
rnacentral:lncRNA from 13 species